UCUGGUUGAUCCUGCCAGUAGUCAUAUGCUUGUCUCAAAGAUUAAGCCAUGCAGGCGUACAAGUUUAAACCCAUUGAGGGUGAAACUGCGAAUGGCUCAAUAGAUCCAGUCAUAAUUUACAUGAUGGUUAGGCGUAUAUGGAUAACUGUGGCAAUUCUAGAGCUAAUACAUGCAUAAUGUCCUUGGACGGACUUAUUCAGGGGUCGCGCUUUCGACCUAAAAUUAAUUGUUAUGACCCAAGAGGGUGCUGGAUAAUUAGACCAAUCAUUAAGGCCUUGGGCCAGUUGAUGCUUCAUUCGAGUGUCUGCCCUAUCAGCUUAGGUUGGUGAGCUAUAGGCUCCCCAUGGCUGCAACGGGUGACGGGGAAUUGGGGUUUGAUUCCGGAGAGGGAGCCUUAGAGAUGGCUACCACAUCCAAGGAAGGCAGCAGGCGCGCAACUUACCCAGUGCCGACUAAGGCGAGGUAGUGACAAUAUUGAGCGGGGCAGAGUGUUGAUUGGGCCUUUGUCAUUGGAAUGAGGACGGAUUAAACAAUCUAUCGAGAAACAUUUGGAGGGCAAGUCUGGUGCCAGCAGCCGCGGUAACUCCAGCUCCAGUAGUGUAUAUUAAUACUGCUGCAGUUAAAAAGCCCGUAGUCUAUGUAGGCUGCGGUGGGGGGCGUAGUGUGCUCUUUUUGACGGUAGGGGGCGUUCGCACUUGCCCAUACCAAACCCGCUGCAGCCUGGCAGUUGGCUCAGGGGGCGUUCCAUGAAUAAUGGGACGUCCCAUGUAGGGGAAGGACAAGUGUUUUACAGUGCCUUGAGGUAAUCAACGUGCUUCAAGCAGGUUUUGACAAGCCUUGCAUGGAUUGCAUGGCAUGCUUAGAGGAGCCGGGGCGCAGGUGAAGAGAGAAUUCAUGAAGGUUGUCUGUUUGGAGUCUCAUUGGUGUAUGCAGAACGCGCUAUGUUCGAGAGGGGCUAGUUUAGACAUCGGUACUGCGAUGAUAGGGGUGAAAUCCAGUGACCAUCUCAUGAUCAGCUGCUGCGAAGGCGGUUGUAUGUCAUGUCCCCUCUGAUAAAGGACUAAGGAUUGGCUCUCAAAGGCGAUCAGAUACCGCUGUAGUCCAAUCAGUAAAUGAUGCCAACUAGACCAAGGGCUUAGAUUCAUGCAGAUAAUUGGCUCUUGGUCUUAGAGAAAUCAAAGUGGAUGGGCUCCGGGGGGAGUAUGGUCGCAAGGCUGAAACUUAAAGGAAUUGACGGAAGGGCACCACAAGGUGUGGAGCCUGCGGCUUAAUUUGACUCAACGCGGGACAACUUACCAGGUCAGGACAUGAGAAGGAUUGACAGAUUAAUAGCUCUUUCAUGAUUUUAUGGGUGGUGGUGCAUGGCCGUUUUUAGUUCGUGGAGUGAUUCGUCAGGUUGAUUCCUUAAACGAGCGAGAUCUUUGUCUGUCAUUGGCCUAGCAGUCCUUGACUUGAACUAGCGAAAAGAUUUGGGCUGGCUAGUGCUCUAUAAGAGACGAUCACUGUCAAAGGUGAUGGAAGUGGAAGCCAAUAACAGGUCUGUGAUGCCCUUAGAUGUCCUGGGCCGCACGCGUGCUACACUGGCUGGCAUAGCGAGAACUUUAAGCCUAUGUCUGAGAGACGGGAGGGCGAACUUUAAAUCCAGUCGUGACGGGGAUAGAGCAUUGGAAUUAUUGCUCUUGAACAAGGAAUACCUAGUAAUCGCGAGUCAUUAUCUCGCGUUGACUCUGUCCCUGCCCUUUGUACACACCGCCCGUCGCUACUACCGAUCGAGUGGCCCAGUGAGGUUCUCGGAUCUACUCCGUCCUUGUGGGUAACCAUCUGGCUGGGGCCAAGAGAUGUUAACCGAACUGGGUUAUUUAGAGGAAGUAAAAGUCGUAACAAGGUUUCCGUAGGUGAACCUGCGGAAG
rnacentral:rRNA from 2 species